AUUGCAAUUGCGAAUGAAAUCUGCUUUAUCAGAGAUACCGUCCUGGAAAAUUAUUUGGAUAUUUCCAACAAUUUAGGGACUCGUCCGGGAUCAUUAUCGCCUCUUGGGGGUCUCCCCAGGUGCCCUGGACAGGAUAGGUGCACCCCGCUGAUUUUAGCGGUCCUGUGUGGGUGGUGAGGUGACUCCUUGGGACGGCCGAUAAGAAACCGAGACUGUUCCAUAAAGGACGGGCUCUGUGAAAGCCAAGGGGCAGGUAGGCACGGGUGUUGGCCUUUGCAAUCUGGUAACUUCGUGCACAGACCAAGGAUCUGAGGACUGUUAGCACAAACACUGCCUCUGGAAUUUCCAAUUUAUCCAUUCCAAGCUGGAGACUGGGACCUGAUCCAGACCUGGAAGGAGACAAAGCUGCAACCUGAUUGGGAAGGGCCAUUCCAAGUACUUCUAACAAUGGAAACAGCCGUCAAGAUGGCCGAGAAAGGUUGGACUCACUGCAUUUGAGUAAAACCCUCCCCUAACCCUGAAGUGUGAGAAACUGUUGCCAUGGAGGAUCCUCUAAAGAUAAAAAUCAGAAAUAAAUUGUAAAUAAACUAAUCUGUAAUUUCUCCUCAACAGUAUUAGUAAGGAGGUGUUUAGUCUGUGUGUGCGUGUUUUGUAACAGAGUAUAUCCUAUUCUUUAUCCUAGUAACUGUUUAGAGAUUCAGGUCUUGACAAUAAUGCGGGGAAAGACCAAUAAGUAGCCUUGAUUUUGAUGAUAAUCCAUUUCAAAGAAUACCUUAAUCAAUUAAUUGCUUGGAAAGAGGAUGACUUGAAGAAGGGAUUGGGAGGAUAUCCUGUUAAGUUGUGGAUAAAUGUGACAAGGAAACAAAUGCCUCAGACUGUCACAUUCGAUGCUUGUUGUGUGAUAGCCUAUGGGAGCCUAAGUGCCCAAUGAUGACUGAGUAAUGAAGAUAAAUACCUGUGCCCUAAAUUAGGUAUGAAUAGGGGAUUCCCUUGUAGCGGAUGGAAAAAAUGUAUGGUGGACAACUGCCUAUCGAGGCUGGACAUAUACACCAGGGAUAUUUGAUGCCUCACAAGUACACACCCUAAAAGAUCAGAUUAGUAUGUUUAAAGGAGUUGUCCAACCAGACUGCCAGGCCUUACAGUGUAAUCCAGAAAAUAAGUAUUAGCAAGGCUGAUAGUCUUGUUAACAUCAUUUUGGCGCUGGAAUAGACAUACAUGGAAAAGACCCAGUAGCCAGAUUUCUGAAUAGCUGUAUGGGAUUCACUCCCUGAUCAUAUUCAAAAUGUCCAGGAUAAGGGAAAGGGAGUGGAAAAUCCUCCUAAAAACCCUGCAGUUAUAGUAAUUGCAGAAAUAAAGGAUCUCAGACAAACGUUCGAAAUUGAGAUAUGGUACGGAGAUGUGAAUGCCUGGGUAGAAUGGAUUAAGUAUACUGUCCAGAGUCUCAACCAUAGCAACUGCUAUGCUUGUGCAUCAGGACAGCCUGUAGCUCAGGUAGAACCCCUUCCACUGGAGUGGAUCAAGGAUUCCCAAGGGAUGCAAUGCAUGAUUGCCCUGUACCAGGAGAAAACUGCCUGGGGAAAUGAAGCCUGUAAAUCACUUUCCCUAUUGUUCCCUCCAAUACCUGAGAUGGAUGCCAAAAUCCCUCCUGCAUUCUCCAUGGCCAUAGGUAACCAUACAGCUUGCCUCUCAAGGCAGGGUGUGAAGGCUACCAGGCCUAUAGGGAAUUUCUCACUAUGCAGUGAAACCUUGAACAUUACGGAAGAUUUAGCAGGGAACUAUUCAGGGCUGGGAAUCCCUAGAGCAGAUCUCUGGUGGUAUUGCAGUGGGAAGAUCUUAUGGUCCACUCUCCCAUCUAAUUGGGGAUGUACCUGUGCACUUGUUCAACUAGUUAUACCGUUCACUCUGGCAUUUGAAAACACACACAGAGAAAGAACAAAAGGAGCUUAGGGUCUCAUUUGAUGAUGCAAUAUAUAUAGAUAGAUUCAAUCAGAGUGCCCUGAGGUGUCCCUGAUGAAUUUAAGGCUAGAAAUCAAAUUGCUGCAGGAUUUGAGUCACUGCUCUGGUGGGUGACAAUUAACAAAAAUGUAGAUUGGAUAAACUGCAUCUAUUACAAUCAACAGAGAUAAACUAUACAGGUAUAAACUAUACAAAGGAGGCAGUAAAGAGAAUUGCAGAACAAUUGGAUGCUACAAGUGGGAUGGCUUGGGAAAAUAGGAUCGCCCUAAAUAUAAUAUUAGCUGAAAAAGGGUGUGUGUGUAAUGUUAGGCACUCGUUGUUGCACCUUCAUCCCUAAUAACACAGCCCCAGAUGGCACAGUAACUAAAGCACUACAGGGGCUUACUACUCUUGCUGAUGAAUUGGCAGAAAACUCAGGAAUAGAUACUUCUGACAGUGGAUGGUUGGAGUCCUGGUUUGGCAAAUCGAAAGGGAUGAUUGUGUCCAUAUUUACGUCCUUGAUUGUAGUAGCAGGAGUCUUCGUGGCCAUCGGUUGCUGUAUUAAACCCUGUGUGAGGGGACUGGUACAGCAAUUAAUCGAGACUGCACUACUAAAGCAAACAAUAAUGGAGCCACCACCAUCCUUGGAUAAAAUGAUGGUAUUUGAAGAAAUUGAGAGUGAAGAAAGUGAAGAAGAAGUCUUUAAAAUCAUACUUUAGAAAAGAAAUCAACAUUGUAAAAAAAAAAAAAAAAA